rnacentral:rRNA from 1 species
CGUAGGGUGCGAGCGUUGUCCGGAAUUAUUGGGCGUAAAGAGCUCGUAGGCGGUCUGUCGCGUCGGUCGUGAAAACUUGGGGCUUAACCCCGAGCUUGCGGUCGAUACGGGCAUGACUGGAGUUCGGCAGGGGAGACUGGAAUUCCUGGUGUAGCGGUGAAAUGCGCAGAUAUCAGGAGGAACACCGGUGGCGAAGGCGGGUCUCUGGGCCGAUACUGACGCUGAGGAGCGAAAGCGUGGGGAGCGAGCAGGAUUAGAUACCCUGGUAGUCCACGCCGUAAACGGUGGGCGCUAGGUGUGGGGGCCAUUCCACGGUCUCUGUGCCGCAGCUAACGCAUUAAGCGCCCCGCCUGGGGAGUACGGCCGCAAGGCUA